GCGGCCGACGGCGCCGGGCAGAGGGGGGGCUCCUCAUGAGGCCCAUUAUCUGCAUUUGCAAUGACCAGUUCGCACCGUCCCUGCGGCAGCUGAAGCAGCAGGCCUUCCUGCUCCACUUCCCACCGACUCUGCCCUCGAGGCUGGUGCAGCGGCUCCAGGAGGUCUCCCUGCGGCAGGGCAUGAGGGCCGACCCGGGGGUGCUGGCCGCCCUCUGUGAGAAAACUGACAAUGACAUCCGGGCCUGCAUCAACACCCUGCAGGUGGGCGGCCGGCAGGCACCGGGUGGGGUGGGGUGGGGUCAGGAGUUGGCCGCUUCUCAUGCCCCGGCCCUAUGUCUAGUUCCUGUACAGCCGGGGCCAGCGGGAGCUGAGCGUGCGGGACGUGCAGGCCACACGCGUGGGCCUCAAGGACCAGCGCAGAGGGCUCUUCUCGGUGUGGCAGGAGGUCUUCCAGCUGCCUCGAGCUCAGAGCACCCCACCCGCAGGCGCCGUGUGGGCCAGGACCCCGCCCUGCCUGCUGACACACUCCUGCUGGGUGACGGGGACGCGGGCUCCCUCACCUCCACCUCACAGCGAUUCUACCGUGUUCUGCAUGCCGCUGCCUCUGCGGGCGAGCACGAGAAGGUGGUCCAGGGCUUGUUUGACAACUUCCUGCGUCUGCGGCUGCGAGACUCCAGCCUGGGCGCUGUGUGUGUGGCCCUCGACUGGCUGGCCUUCGAUGACCUGCUGGCGGGGGCUGCUCAUCACAGCCAGAGCUUCCAGCUGCUGCGCUACCCACCCUUCCUGCCCGUGGCCUUCCACGUGCUGUUUGCUUCCAGCCACACACCCAGGAUCACCUUCCCCAGCAGCCAGCAGGAGGCCCAGAACCGGAUGAGCCAGAUGAGGAACCUGAUC
rnacentral:sRNA from 1 species